rnacentral:rRNA from 1 species
UGGGGAAUAUUGCACAAUGGGGGAAACCCUGAUGCAGCGACGCCGCGUGAGCGAAGAAGGCUUUCGAGUCGUAAAGCUCUGUCCUAUGAGAAGAUAAUGACGGUAUCAUAGGAGGAAGCCCUGGCUAAAUACGUGCCAGCAGCCGCGGUAAUACGUAUGGGGCGAGCGUUGUCCGGAAUUAUUGGGCGUAAAGGGUACGUAGGUGGUUUUUUAAGUCAGGUGUCAAAGCGUGGAGCUUAACUCCAUUAAGCACUUGAAACUGAAGGACUUGAGUGAAGGAGAGGAAAGUGGAAUUCCUAGUGUAGCGGUGAAAUGCGUAGAUAUUAGGAGGAAUACCGGUGGCGAAGGCGACUUUCUGGACUUUUACUGACGCUCAGGUACGAAAGCGUGGGGAGCAAACAGG